ACUCCUACGGGAGGCAGCAGUGGGGAAUAUUGCACAAUGGGCGCAAGCCUGAUGCAGCCAUGCCGCGUGUGAUGAAGAAGGCCCUUCGGGGUUGUAAAGUACUUUCAGCAGUGAGGGAAGGUGGGUAUGUUAAUAGCAUACCUCAUUUGACGUUAGCUGCAGAAGAAGCACCGGCUAACUCCGUGCCAGCAGCCGCGGUUAAUACGGAGGGUGCGAGCGUUAAUCGGAAUUACUGGGCGUAAAGCGCAUGCAGGUGGUUUGUUAAGUCAGAUGUGAAAGCCCGGGGCUCAACCUCGGAA
rnacentral:rRNA from 1 species